rnacentral:lncRNA from 1 species
AAAAAAUUUAGUCACCUUUGCAGCCCAUUUGACCCAUCUCGCAGCCCAUUUAAACCAUUCUCACCAACCUAUUAAAAUAUCUGGAGUUCUCUGAUUCCUAUCAGUUUUUAUCUAUUUGAAGCGUGGAUUUAAUAACGUUAUCGAUUGAUUCUGAUCAAAGGCCCUAAAGCCCCAUUCUCAGCCCAAAAUAAUAAAAAUCAAU